UAGCAGGAAGACACACACACACACACACACACACACAGCUUUGUGGAGGCAGAUCGCGCUGCACUUCUCCUCUCUUCUUCUUCCUUUCUUUCUGUCUGUCUUUCUUUCUGUCUCCCUCGCAGUCUUUCUUCCCUCUGCCGUUCUUUCACGUACAAACACUGUCUGUUGCCACCCCCAUGGGUGUCCCCUCACCUUCUUUUGGCUCUGUCGCUAUAAUCGCGGAUGCGUACAGGAUUCUUUCAGACAGCCUGAGGGAUUCCACCCUCUCUCUCUCUCUCUCUCUCUCUCUCUCUUCUCUUGUUUGCAGAUGGAUACGAUGCUGAAGAGAGAAAUAAAUUAGCACAUUACAGAGUUAGAGGGAGGGUGUGAGGGAGGAACUAGUGUGUGUGUGUGUGUGUGUGUGUGUGUGUGUGCGUGCGUGAACGUACGUUUGUGUGUGUGUCUGUGUGUGUGUGACGUCACACAGAGUGCUGCCCAGGACAGUGCCUGAAAAAAAAGACAUGGGAGCCGAUUCUGCUGCAGCUCUACUCGAUGUGUCAUCUGCCAACCAACACCAGCCAACCAAACUACUCUGGCAUUUUUCUGUUGUUUCCUUGUUUUGUUUUUUUUUCUACAGGGGGAGGCUGGAUUAUUUCAUGCCCUCGUCUACCCGUCUCUGAGAGGGAAGCCUGGUGUGAGCACUCACUCAUUCCUCCACUCGCACUGGAUUUUUUAUUUUUUUAAUCAAACCCAAUCUCUACCCGGCGCGACUCCACAAGUUGAACUUUUUCCUCCCUCCCGCCCUCCCUUUUUCCGCGCCAUUCCUCUUCUGCCUGAAAUUUUCUGUUUUUUUGUUGUUGUUCGUAUUUUUUUCAUUCUUACGAAGUCUAAUGUCCAAGUGCGGCGUAGAUUUUUGGAGGGAAGGCGGAACAACGUUAUGGAAGGCAGCGUGUGCCUGCCUGCAGCUUCCACCUGCGCCAUGUCCCGAGGAUAGGUGACGCGGCCAUCCGGCCAUCCACACUGUGCCUGCUAAACAACGUCCUCCACUAUCUUUUUUAUCUCAAGGUAUUUUUUUUUCGCUGCAUGUUGGACAGGAUCCAGCGAGUCACUGGCUCCAAUUGCGAGUGGCCUACAGCCCUGGGUGCCAUCAGCUGAGCGAGGGGUGUGUGUGUGUGUGUGGGGAGGAGGUGUGUUGUUGGGAGAGACAAGCCCCGCACAGGCACCUCGCGAACAGCUAAAGGCGGGUAGGAGGGAAUAAGCAGAGGAAGGCUGUGAGCGGAGGGAGCAAAGUGGAGUGGAGCAGUCCAGGAGUAGAGCAGAGUGGCGUCAGGCAUGAAGCACCUGGGACCAAUGCCAGCCCCAGACAAAAGCCUGCCUCCCGCCGCCCGCCCGUCUCCCGCCCGCCACUUGCUCUACUUGCCCAGAGAGACGCCGCCGUCAAAGCCUUCGUUUUCCUGGACGUCUCUCAAAUCCUUGACACUGGCGUGGAAGAUUGCUGCCUGUCUGUCAUGACUGGUUGACAAGAUGUUCUGUGAGUGAGUAUUCUAAUUUUUUUACGUGGGGUUAGUCUCUGGUGUGUUUUGGUGUGUUUUUUUCCCGUGUAUUUCUUCGGCGGUUGACUGCAUGUGCUUUUGUUGUUUUGGUUUGUUUUAUUUUUUCGCUCGAAUGGCGAGUCGUGUGGUACUGUAGUAGAGGUAUGGCGAUGUUCCUCUGAAGUGUCUCGUUGUGUUUUGGAGGGAAGCGUUGCCUGUUCUUCGCGGGCUGGCCUGAGGGUUUGGAGUAUGUUUGAGCCACCCUGUCCUGUCCUGUCGUGGCUUCUGUACCCAAUUCAAGCAAACAGGCUGCUCCGCCGCCGAUUCGCCUACUUCCCCUGCCACCUCCAAAAAAAUGGUAAAAAAUAAAAGACCCAGGGAGCCAUAGCCACAACUCUCCUUAGCUAGACUUUUACACAUACUCUUUUCCUAACUGCCGCCUUUUCUUUCCUUCCUACAUGUCCUCCCUUUGCUUCGUGUUCGUACGUAUCGUUCUUUCAGUUCAUUAGGUCGCGCACUCCUCCCGUCAUUCCUUCUCUUUGUUUUGGUGGCACGGCUGGCCAGCCUGGGCAGGGAGGGGAGUCGAGGGGAAGGGGGUAGUGGAUGCCCAGACCUGGGGCUAAGGGGGUGAUGCCAACUCAUGCUCUGGUCUCGUCUCGCCGCUCUGCUGGGCCACUUUCCCCGCGCAUGCAGCCACACUAUACCACAGCCUCGCUUAUUAGUCCCGCCGGACGUCAACUCCACAUGGAAACGGACACAUCUCUCUCUCUCUCUUUCUGCAUUUUUCUUUCUCUCCUGCUCCCCCCUUUUCCCUCUUUUUCUCUCUGCAGCAUUUUGUGGUCGUGCGUGCUGCCUGUUCUGUUCGCGCCUCUCUGCUACUCAAGGACUCUUUGCUUGUCCGAUGGCCUCCUGUAAGACACUCGCCAGUUCUUUGCCUUGCGGCCGGGUCAUUCAUCACCAAGGGGAGCGGAGUUGGCCAGCCCCGGCCCGGCCUGGCUUGGCGCCUGGCUCGCCUCACCAGUGGCUGGAUGACAUGACAGCUGUCCUUGAGGCUGAGGUAGUAGGUUGAAUAGUUGUGGGGUGCAACCCUCCCUCCGAGAUAACUAUACAAUCUACUGUCUUUCCUAAAGAGACGGGCAGACCUUCAGAGUAACGCUGAUCGAGCGAGCGAGAGAGAGAGAGAGAGAGAGAGAGAGAUGCACGACGGUAGAUGUUUUCUUGACAGUGGAUGAAGAACACAGAAGCAAGCCAAUCCAAAUGCAUAUAGAGUUAAAUGAAAUUCAUCUGUUAAUCAUGGCUUAUUUGCUAAGUGUGUGUCAUUUUAUUGUCUGCAUGCAUAUACUAUGCAAGAACACUACAUAGUGUGGUAGGUUUUGAAAUAACUAUAAUAGUAAUAAUAAUUUCAUUUGCAUAUCAUAAUUAAUACAAGAUGCACAUCACAACAUGCCGCAACAGAUUUAUAUAUAUACUGUGUGUGUGUGUGUGUGCGCGCGCGUGCGCGUGUGCAACAACGGCAGAGUUAAAGAAGAAUGUCACAAUGGCUGCAGUAUGUGGCAACAGAAAAAUGAAUAUGCCAUUACAUGUUUAUAACAGGUUUAUGCCAGUUUUAUGACGUAAUGUAACAUUUUUAGCAAUGGGGUGUUCAAUGUUUCUUUUAUGUGUGUUUAUAAUGUCUUGUGCAAGUGUGUGCGCAUGUGUGUGCCUACACAAGUGUGCGUGCGCACAUGUGUGUGUGUGUGUGUAAUAUUACUGCAAAACCAUUGCCAAGCUGAGACCAAUAAAGCUAAUUGACUUAAAGAGCCAACAGCCAAUGUAGAGUUGGUGCCAGUGACUUGAGAGCCCAACAGGCGAUGUUAUGUGGAGUUGGUGCCUGUGUGGAGUAGGUGCCUGUGUGGAGUAAGUGCCUGUGCGAGGUGAGGUAGUAGGUUGUAUAGUUUCGGGGGGGAUGAAACCCUAUUUAGGUGAUAACUAUACAGUCUAUUGCCUUCCUCGAGGGGUACAACAUACAACAUGCACUGUGUAGUGGAAGCCGCGCACAUCUGACAGGAAAGCAUCAGCAGGUGCCAAAUCAAAGAUGGUAGACACGGUAAGGGAUCUGCACACUGCUUGAAAAAGACAAUUUAUUGGGAGCAACGUUUUGAUAUAUCUUCAAUUAUCUUGCCAUCACAAUAUACAGUACACUGUGCAUACCUACGGUAGACCUAUAUAUCUUAAUGGUUUUCAAUGUUCUGCUCUCUCCACCCAGUGAGCAAAUUUUCAAAUGAUAAACAAAAUUCUUCAUUCAAACCACCAAUAAUAUUACACAAUGGAAAUGACAAACUUCUAAAUCCUUAAAAAAAACAUCUUAAGGUAAUGUAAAACACAUGAGUGCCAUUACUGAUGUGGGCCUACUGUAUUGUGGAGUAAUGAGAAAUAAAGAUACAUAUUUUUAAAAGA